CAGGGAGAACCAACUUCAAAUGAUGGUCACAUUUUUUUCGUGAUCCAUUUGACUGUUCAACCCUAUGGUCGAUCGGUACCUCAAUGAACGAGAUGUUUUCUCGCUCAUCUCGGUUCUUAAGCUUGUCUAGGUCACUACCCCACAGCUGAUAAGCUGUGGAAGAUGGGCCCGAAAGGGUUCCUGGGCCAUUAGCUCAGGUGGUUAGAGCGCACCCCUGAUAAGGGUGAGGUCCCUGGUUCAAGUCCAGGAUGGCCCAUCGGGAUUGGGGGUUUAGCUCAGCUGGUAGAGCGCCUGCUUUGCAAGCAGGAUGUCAGCGGUUCGAGUCCGCUAACCUCCAUCAAUUCUGAUGUGGGAAACGGCAGAACGUGAUGGUGAUCUAGAGGAAGGUUUGUUGGUGAAUCCAGCCUCGUUUGAUACUCGGUAGUCGAGCUCAAAUGAUGCUGGACUCAGCAAUGGGUUCAGCAAGAACCUUGACAACUGCAUAGGUGAGUCUGGAAAUAAGCAUCUCACAGAGAUGACCCAGAAAUGGUAUUGAUGAUUUAGUUCAUCAAUAGAUGGAUGGAUCAUUAAUUCUGUGGAAGCCGAGAUUCAGUUGACUUGUCAACUGGAGAGUGAAAAU
rnacentral:tRNA from 1 species